GGGCCGUUAGCUCAAUUGGCAGAGCAACUGACUCUUAAUCAGUGGGUUGGAGGUUCGAUUCCUCCACGGCCCA
rnacentral:tRNA from 1 species